rnacentral:rRNA from 1 species
GGGUGCAAGCGUUAAUCGGAAUUACUGGGCGUAAAGCGUGCGCAGGCGGUGAUGUAAGACAGAUGUGAAAUCCCCGGGCUCAACCUGGGAACUGCAUUUGUGACUGCAUCGCUGGAGUGCGGCAGAGGGGGAUGGAAUUCCGCGUGUAGCAGUGAAAUGCGUAGAUAUGCGGAGGAACACCGAUGGCGAAGGCAAUCCCCUGGGCCUGCACUGACGCUCAUGCACGAAAGCGUGGGGAGCAA